CAGCUAUCACAAAUAGAUUCUGGGUGUAUCUGUGACUGGGAAAUGUGUUGGUCUGGAACCACACACACACAAUAAACAGUACGGACUCUGACUCUGGGACUAGCUCUUGUAACAAAAGACGACUCUGGUUAGCGCGAUGUAUAAUUUAAUAAGUUCAGCAUGGAAUACAAUUGUACAGAGUUGGGACUGCUCAGUGUAAUACUAAAUCCAAUUUGCCACAUCAAAAUAACAACAUAGUUUAUAUAACAAACCAAAACUACUUGUACUUGACAAAUAUUUCUCUAAAUGAGUGAGAAAAUUCAAAUAAGGGAUAACAGAAAAAUUAACACAUACAUGUAGAUAAUAAUUAACAAUUAUAGAACAUACAGACUUAUUUAUGGGAUUAAAGCCUUGGCUUGUCAAAUACGAAUAAUCUGAGACUACUAUAACAUGUGUUAUAGUAGUCUCAGGAAUAAUAGAUCAUUUUGAAGUAAAAUGUCGCCAUUUAAAAAAAACCAAAUUAAAACAUGAAAUUAUAUUAGCUUAAUCUUCUAAACUUGACUUAAAUCUUGCACAAUAAAAAUAUCAAAAUCCCUAGUGAAAUAUUGCAAAUAUAACAAAAUCACUGGUUUUACAAAAUCUUUAACAAAAUGUCCAAAAAGUAUCAAAAUAAAUUUUUGUCCAUUUUUCCACUGUGACACAGCUAUGGCGUUCCAUAUUCCUUGUCUGUCCUAUUAUAUUCAUAUAUGGUAUUUGAAAUGAAAAUAAGCACAAAACCAGUCAUUUUAACAAUUAAGAUCCUAUCAAGGAACCCUUUUAAGGUGACUAUAUCAGAGACAAAAACAAAAUGUAUACAAUAGAUAUAAAAAAAGAAGAUGUGGUAUGAUUGCCAAAUAGACAACUCUCCACAAGAGACCAAAAUGACAGAAAUUACCAACAAUAGGUCAUCGCACGGCCGUCAACAAUGAGCAAAGUCCAUACCGCAUAGUCAGCUAUAAACUCUUAAAGGCCCCGAAAUAACAAUGUAAAACGAGAAAACUAACGGCUUAUUCAUGUACAAAAAAUGAACGAAAAACAAAUUGAACACAUAAACAAACAACCACUGAAUAAGUAUACAAGACAAAAAGAAAAGGACAGUACAAAAUAUGUUAAGAAUCUAAUCUAAAAUAAAAAUGAAAAUAAUCCUCGUACAAAAUAAAUAUUUAUAUAUAAAAAAAGGUGACUAGAUGCUCUGCAAGGGUAAUUAGCAUAUUUCGAAUUUUACUUAAUAUGUUUUUGACCAGCAAUUUAAAAAUAAAUAAAUACAUAUUUGAACAAUAAAAAAAAGAAUUUUUCAUCAUAGGAUCGGGAUAUUGUAACUUGAUAAAGGAAUUCGAAUGUGAAAUGGUGGUAGCUAACCACGGAUCCAAGAAAAGACACGUAUUAUAUGUCAAUAAACACGAUAUUAAAAUAAGAAGAUGUGGUAUAAUUUCCAAUGAGAUUUCUGUUUACUACAAGCUAUAACUACUGGAAGAAAAAGCUCCAGUAAAAUUAAAUUUUAUCAAGGAUUGGAGAGGCCUUGUUAUCUGAAAGACAGAGAAAACAACAUGAUUUUUUUUUAUAUCGGGAACUUUUCAAUAUUCCCAACUAUAGAAUCCGACAAAUUAACGAAAAAGUUUUUUUUUUAGUGAGAACAACAUUUUAUCAAACCAUAAUUAUUUAUAUCUUCAAUAUAAAAAUAAGGAGAUGUGAUAGGAUUUUCAAAGUUAAAAAAAUAAAUGGAUUUAAGCAAUUAUAGUCGGCAAUAACAGGUUCCGACAUGAAAAAUAAGAAUUAAUACACAAACUGACGGCCUAAUUCAUAAUAAAACAAUUUACGAAAAACAUAUAUGACAUACACGAAAAAACGACAAACACUGAACUACGGGCUUUUGACUUAAAACAGGUACAUACAGAAUUUGGCGGGGUUAAAAAUGUCUGUGUGCGCUCAUUUCUAAAAAAAAACAACCUAUCACAACACAAGACCAAACUAUAAAAAAAAUCAGUUGAAUGAUCGGAUCAUCAUUUAAUACUAUCAAUGACGAUAUCAGAUCAGGUGCGGGAUCCAAACCACGGAACACCCUGAAAUUCCACAAAAUAAAAAAAAAAUCGAAAAACUUGAAUGGGGUUUCAAUCACCAACACUCCCUCUCCCCUCAUGCCGGAUCCGCUCAGGCAGACUCAACUUUUGAGUGUGUAAUUUAGGUAUAAAAAAUUGAUAACAAUACAAAAUAACUAACUGAUAUUAAAUUGUAACAGAAAAAGGAGAGAAAAUCAUUCCAGACAUGUGUUGCAGCAUUGGAUUACAGUAGUUUUAAUAAAUAUUUAUAUGACAGAAGUAUCAUGGAAAACAUAAACUAAUCAUGAAUGUGGCAGAAGAGAUAGUACACGGUUUAUGUUCUUCUCAUUGAUAUUGUUCAGGAAGGCUCAGAGUGAUUGUACAGUAAACUUGCAAGCGAUUGUACAGUCAAUAAAAAUAUCCGACAUGGAGAAAAUGAAUAUAUUUGGAUUUCUACUGGAACAAUGACUUCAAAACUUUCAGACAGG
rnacentral:lncRNA from 1 species